rnacentral:lncRNA from 1 species
CCCCUGACUCACUCUCAAUCGAGUAAUGAUAUCAGAGAGAACUAUUUCAGAACCGGAGCUUUUGGAGAAGGCUUGCCCCACAGUGAUGUGGCAGCCAAGGCAGGACUGUGAGUGUGGCCUCUGGGAGGGGAGACGGAAAGGGCAAUGGGCUGGGAGGAAGGACAAACAGAGAAAACCCAAGAUCCAAAGGAGAAGAGCAUUUCAAACAGGAAUUAAGCUAUUUGAUUUAAAAAAGACAUUAUGGAUUGUCUAGCUCCUUUUGUUUAUACUGCAAAUGUCGAUACUGCUUAGUGGCACUGAUUGAUG